rnacentral:rRNA from 1 species
UGCGUAGGUGGUUGGGUAAGUCAAAUGUGAAAUCCUACAGCUUAACUGUAGAACUGCAUUCGAAACUACCCGGCUAGAGUACUGGAGAGGAGAUCGGAAUUCUCGGUGUAGCAGUGAAAUGCGUAGAUAUCGAGAGGAACACCAGUGGCGAAGGCGGAUCUCUGGACAGUUACUGACACUGAGGCACGAAAGGCUAGGGGAGCAAACG